rnacentral:rRNA from 1 species
GUUAAGUUGCAGGGUAUAGACCCGAAACCCGGUGAUCUAGCCAUGGGCAGGUUGAAGGUUGGGUAACACUAACUGGAGGACCGAACCGACUAAUGUUGAAAAAUUAGCGGAUGACCUGUGGCUGGGGGUGAAAGGCCAAUCAAACCGGGAGAUAGCUGGUUCUCCCCGAAAGCUAUUUAGGUAGCGCCUCGUGAAUUCAUCUCCGGGGGUAGAGCACUGUUUCGGCUAGGGGGCCAUCCCGGCUUACCAACCCGAUGCAAACUGCGAAUACCGGAGAAUGUUAUCACGGGAGACACACGGCGGGUGCUAACGUCCGUCGUGAAGAGGGAAACAACCCAGACCGCCAGCUAAGGUCCCAAAGUCAUGGUUAAGUGGGAAACGAUGUGGGAAGGCCCAGACAGCCAGGAUGUUGGCUUAGAAGCAGCCAUCAUUUAAAGAAAGCGUAAUAGCUCACUGGUCGAGUCGGCCUGCGCGGAAGAUGUAACGGGGCUAAACCAUGCACCGAAGCUGCGGCAGCGACACUGUGUGUUGUUGGGUAGGGGAGCGUUCUGUAAGCCUGUGAAGGUGUGUCGUGAGGCAUGCUGGAGGUAUCAGAAGUGCGAAUGCUGACAUAAGUAACGAUAAAGCGGGUGAAAAGCCCGCUCGCCGGAAGACCAAGGGUUCCUGUCCAACGUUAAUCGGGGCAGGGUGAGUCGACCCCUAAGGCGAGGCCGAAAGGCGUAGUCGAUGGGAAACGGGUUAAUAUUCCCGUACUUGGUGUUACUGCGAAGGGGGGACGGAGAAGGCUAUGUUGGCCGGGCGACGGUUGUCCCGGUUUAAGCGUGUAGGUGUGUGUUCCAGGUAAAUCCGGUUCACUUUAACACUGAGGCGUGA